AACGAACGCUGGCGGCAUGCCUAACACAUGCCAGUCGAACGAGACCUUCGGGUCUAGUGGCGCACGGGUGCGUAACGCGUGGGAACCUGCCCUUAGGUUCGGAAUAACUCCCCGAAAGGGGUGCUAAUACCGGAUAAUGUCUUCGGACCAAAGAUUUAUCGCCUUUGGAUGGGCCCGCGUUGGAUUAACUAGUUGGUAGGGUAAAAGCCUACCAAGGCGACGAUCCAUAGCUGGUCUGAGAGGAUGAUCAGCCACACUGGGACUGAGACACGGCCCAGACUCCUACGGGAGGCAGCAGUGGGGAAUAUUGGACAAUGGGCGAAAGCCUGAUCCAGCAAUGCCGCGUGAGUGAUGAAGGCCUUAGGGUUGUAAAGCUCUUUUACCCGGGAUGAUAAUGACAGUACCGGGAGAAUAAGCUCCGGCUAACUCCGUG
rnacentral:rRNA from 1 species